rfam:Chloroflexi bacterium OLB15 TZ15_CFX003CONTIG000068, whole genome shotgun sequence.
GGCGACGUGGCUCAGCGGUUAGAGCGAUUCACUCAUAAUGAAUAGGCCGAUGGUUCGAAUCCAUCCGUCGCCA